rnacentral:rRNA from 1 species
UGGGGAAUAUUGCACAAUGGGCGAAAGCCUGAUGCAGCGACGCCGCGUGAGGGAUGACGGCCUUCGGGUUGUAAACCUCUUUCAGUAGGGACGAAGCGCAAGUGACGGUACCUGCAGAAGAAGCACCGGCUAACUACGUGCCAGCAGCCGCGGUAAUACGUAGGGUGCGAGCGUUGUCCGGAAUUACUGGGCGUAAAGAGCUCGUAGGCGGUUUGUCACGUCGUCUGUGAAAUCCUAGGGCUUAACCCUGGACGUGCAGGCGAUACGGGCUGACUUGAGUACUACAGGGGAGACUGGAAUUUCUGGUGUAGCGGUGGAAUGCACAGAUAUCAGGAAGAACACCGAUGGCGAAGGCAGGUCUCUGGGUAGUAACUGACGCUGAGGAGCGAAAGCAUAGGUAGCGAACAGG